rnacentral:rRNA from 1 species
GACGAACGCUGGCGGCGUGCCUAAUACAUGCAAGUCGAGCGAGCGGAACCAACAGAUUUACUUCGGUAAUGACGUUGGGAAAGCGAGCGGCGGAUGGGUGAGUAACACGUGGGGAACCUGCCCCUAAGUCUGGGAUACCAUUUGGAAACAGGUGCUAAUACCGGAUAAUAAAGCAGAUCGCAUGAUCAGCUUUUGAAAGGCGGCGUAAGCUGUCGCUAAGGGACGGCCCCGCGGUGCAUUUAGCUAGUUGGUAAGGUAACGGCUUACCAAGGCGACGAUGCAUAGCCGAGUUGAGAGACUCGAUCGGCCACAUUGGGACUGAGACACGGGCCCAA